GAUGAACGCUGGCGGCGUGCUUAACACAUGCAAGUCGAACGGAAAGGCUCCUGCUUGCAGGGGUACUCGAGUGGCGAACGGGUGAGUAACACGUGGGUGAUCUGCCCUGCACUUCGGGAUAAGCCUGGGAAACUGGGUCUAAUACCGGAUAGGACGAUGGUUUGGAUGCCAUUGUGGAAAGUUUUUCGGUGUGGGAUGAGCUCGCAGCCUACCAGCUUGUUGGUGGGGUAAUGGCCUACCAAGGCGUCGACGGGUAGCCGGCCUGAGAGGGUGUACGGCCACAUUGGGACUGAGAUACGGCCCAGACUCCUACGGGAGGCAGCAGUGGGGAAUAUUGCACAAUGGGCGCAAGCCUGAUGCAGCGACGCCGCGUGGGGGAUGACGGCCUUCGGGUUGUAAACUCCUUUCGCUAGGGACGAAGCGCAAGUGACGGUACCUGGAGAAGAAGCACCGGCUAACUACGUG
rnacentral:rRNA from 1 species